rnacentral:rRNA from 1 species
AUACGUAGGUGACAAGCGUUGUCCGGAUUUACUGGGCGUAAAGCGCGUGCAGGCGGUCUGGUAAGUUGGACGUGAAAGCUCCCGGCUCAACUGGGAGAGGUCGUUCAAUACUGUCAGACUUGAGGAUGGUAGAGGGAGGUGGAAUUCCAGGUGUAGUGGUGAAAUGCGCAGAUAUCUGGAGGAACACCAGUGGCGAAAGCGGCCUCCUGGACCAUUCCUGACGCUCAGACGCGAAAGCUAGGGUAGCGAACGGGCUUAGAGACCCCGGUAGUCCUAGCUGUAAACGAUGUGAACUUGGCGUCGGUGGGAUUAAAUCCAUCGGUGUCGAAGCUAACGCGAUAAGUUCACCGCCUGAGGACUACGGCCGCAAGGUUAAA